rnacentral:rRNA from 1 species
AUUGAACGCUGGCGGCGUGCCUUACACAUGCAAGUCGAACGGCAGCACGGGAGCAAUCCUGGUGGCGAGUGGCGAACGGGUGAGUAAUACAUCGGAACGUGCCCAAUCGUGGGGGAUAACGCAGCGAAAGCUGUGCUAAUACCGCAUACGAUCUACGGAUGAAAGCAGGGGAUCGCAAGACCUUGCGCGAAUGGAGCGGCCGAUGGCAGAUUAGGUAGUUGGUGAGGUAAAGGCUCACCAAGCCGUCGAUCUGUAGCUGGUCUGAGAGGACGACCAGCCACACUGGGACUGAGACACGGCCCAGACUCCUACGGGAGGCAGCAGUGGGGAAUUUUGGACAAUGGGCGAAAGCCUGAUCCAGCCAUGCCGCGUGCAGGAUGAAGGCCUUCGGGUUGUAAACUGCUUUUGUACGGAACGAAACGGCCUUUUCUAAUAAAGAGGGCUAAUGACGGUACCGUAAGAAUAAGCACCGGCUAACUACGUGCCAGCAGCCGCGGUAAUACGUAGGGUGCAAGCGUUAAUCGGAAUUACUGGGCGUAAAGCGUGCGCAGGAGGUUAUGUAAGACAGUUGUGAAAUCCCCGGGCUCAACCUGGGAACUGCAUCUGUGACUGCAUAGCUAGAGUACGGUAGAGGGGGAUGGAAUUCCGCGUGAACAUUGAAAUGCGUAGAUAUGCGGAGGAACCCCCAUGGCGAAGCAUCCCCUGGACCUCUGCUGACGCUCUUGUCCAAAACGUGGGGGGCAACACGAUUAUUAACUUGUGUCCAAGGGGGAUUU